rnacentral:lncRNA from 1 species
UUUUUUUUUUCUAAAAACUCUAUGCUAAUCUUAAACUUAAAAGCUAACUAAAAAACUAAAACUAAAAGUAAAUAAGAAUAAAAAGCAAAUGAAAUAGGUCAACUAAAAGGGCGAAAAUGAAUAAAACUAAAAUAUCAUAACAACUAAUAGUGCAAAACACACAACAACGAACUAAAAUGCAAGCAAUCUAAAAAUGAAAUCAUGAAAUAGAUGAUACAUACAAAUUAUUCAAAAUUUGGUGUCUACACCGGAAUCAAGAGUCUCAUACCCAAUGAUUCCACAUAAAGAGUCCCAUGCGUGUCAAUUUCCUUGACCAAGCCCUUGCUGGCUCGAUUCAAUUAACCACCAAUGAGGUUGAGUUCAAUGAUAACAGUAAAGGUCGUUGGACACACGUCCAAACGACACCGGUUCAACUAUAUUCAAGUGAAAUUCAAUUGUUACAGUAAAAUAGUACAUAAGCCAUAGAGUGCGAGAGUGAUAAAGUAACCUCGUCUCGAUCAAUCUCAACAGUAUACACAAGCAUUCAAGUAAUAGAUUUCAAGUAUAACAAAGCCACGAAGUAACAAUCACGUGAGUAGUACACUCACCAAUCAAACAAGGAAAAUUUCACAAAUUUCCGUCCAACGAGCGCCUUGGGUCACGACGCCCUAAAACAUUCAAUAAAAUGUAAUGAGACUCGAUUACGAGUCAUAAAUCCAAACCACAUAUCACUAAUGUAAAACCAAAAAGAACUGAAAUAAUGUAAGCUACACUUGUGCUAAAGGUUUAGACAACCCUAAGGUCCCUUAUUAACCCUAAAGCAACCCAAAUCCAAGAAAGCAUAUGAACCUACAUUUGGACAGCAUUUCCCCUUAAAUUUCAAAUUUCUCUACAAUCACUCACUUAUGUUUCCCACACAACCACAAUUACCAUUGCAAGUCAUAGGCCAUUCAAUACAACUUAUUAGGGUCAUGACGGAGGGUCAAUGAGGUUGGAUCAAGAAUGGAAGCGUGGAAAUGGGCUCUUGAGAGCCGUCCGUAUCCUUUUAUCGAUGUGUUUCAUUCCUUAAUUGUGUACUUGAAAUGAAAGGUUAUGCUAUAUGCUCUUAGUUGCUUAUGUGGUAGUAACUCACUGGGCUUAAGCUCAUUCCGUUCCAUUUGUUUUCCUUACAGGAAAAUGACCACUUUUGGAAAAGGUUGUGCUAGUUGGUUGUCAAGUUGAGCUAAUGUAAAUAUAUCUUUUGAAUAGCUCUGUGAAUGAAACCCUUUUGUGUAUUGGGUUCAUUUUCUUUUGGUUGGCAAACCGAACAUGUAUAUUCAUGAUGAAUGGUUUUUGGCAUGCCAUUUGGUUGUAAAUGUUAGAUUUCAAUGUAUAUAUAUGCUUGGUUGAUAUUUGGUUGGAUUUCGGAUCAACUCGUAUUUCAAACGGCAAAAGAAAAAUUUUGGCUACUCUCGGCCUAGUAUCCGGAUUCUGACGUGGCCGGCACUGCUCAUCUUCGGCUUCGAUUUUUUUAUUUUUUUUAUUUUGUGCUUUUGACUAGUGUACGCGCGUGGGUAGGUUCCGGAACGCAUUAGAUCGACAUUAAUUGAUCCGUUAGUCCUGGCGAGAGCUGGGCAGGCAGUCCGCUAACCCCUUUGGUUCGCCUUAGGGGAAAGUGGGGCUGUCACAAUUCAGGUUUUAGCCAAAACAUCAAAGUUUUAGCCUUAUGUCUCAGCUUUCUAAUGCCUUUGGAAUUUCCUGAUUUGGAUUUGUGAGCUGGGAGUUAUGGUCCAGCAAACAACCCUGUUUGUCACCCUAAGACGUAAAUUUCUGGUAUUGUUUUCUACAAUUUUGACAUGCUUCCAUUCAGAUGUAGAUUAAAGUUUCUUCAGGAGAUUUGUAGCCCUUUCUCAUAGCUUCAAAACAGUAUCUCGCUCACUUUGAUCCGACUUUCCUAGCCUAAUCUUUGAUCAAAACGGUUUGAGAUGGCAGAUUUGGCCGUUUCCUUUUGCCGUUCCACGCACUUGCAUGUGCCAAUUUUGCCGUUUCCGUACUUGCGUGUGUCGGCUUUUGCCGUUUUGCUUGUUUUGGGUCUGUUAGUAACCGUUUGUGAUAUAAUGUGAUAAAAUCUUCUAUUUCAGACAGUGGUGAGCUAGGCGGUGUCGGUGGGGCCCACUACUAGCCAACACACGAAGUGAUUUCCGCUUUUGUACUACUUUUGUAUUUUGAGUAAGUAUUCAGGCCGCUUUUACGUGUUAGUUGAUUAUGUGUUUCGAUAUGUAUGAAAAGGGUACCUAGGCGAGGGUGUACUUUAUCGCACUCGACCUAAACCCUAGUUUGCGCACACAUUUGUACAUGACAUAUGUAUAUGGAUCAUUUUGGAACUAAACCCCUUGAGCUUGUGACUCUGGGUGACUUUUGAAUAAAUUUUGUGAAGUUUGUGAGUUUGGGGCCCAAUCUCAUGACCUAGAUGGACUAUUCGAGCCGGUUAGGGCUUGGUCGAAGUCAGUCCAACCUAGUUUGAGGUCACCAAGUUUGUGAAUCCGGUUCACCGAUUAUGUGGACCAAGUUUGUGACCCGAGCUUGUGAACCAAGCUCAAUUUCGUUCGCUCGAGCAAGUUUGUGAGGUGCCUGGCCAGAGAGGGUGAUAAGGUGUACGGUGGGAGUACAAGUGAAGUUCUACGGACCAUUAAUUGUAGUCGACGGAGUGUCGGCAGGAGAUCAUACAUGGCACAUGAAUUGGCUUUGGAGCCACCUGUAUCCUUAUUAUGUGAUGUUACUUUUCUGCUUUUGCUUUACUCUUACCGUGUAACUGUUGUUACGUGAAAUUUAUACUUUCGCCCCUAUUUACUUACUAAGCAUAUAGCUUACCCCUUUCCUUUUGUUUUCCUUAGCAGGGGCCGACGCGGGGACUUUUGGCUCGUACAGUAGUAUAGUUAGGUUUGAUGGUAAUAGUUGGACAUAUAGUAUGUCUGUUUUUGUUUUGGUGGUUUGUAUAAGGACCCUCCUUAGGGUCUAUCUUCUGCUGGUUGUGAUUAUAGUAUAUUAGAGUGGUUUAACUCGAGACUUUUGAAGAUGUAAAUAUAACUUUUGGGAUUGUAUUUAUUGUAUAUAGUGCUCUUUCGAUUUAUCUAGUUUCAUUGCUUUAAGUUUUGAGUCCUGGCGCGAGCUAGGCAGGCGGCCCGCCGAUACCCUUGGGUUCGCCCUUGGGAGAAGUGGGGUCGUCACAUUCUACCUCGUGAUUUUUUCACAAAAUCUUCACCAAAGAGAUUUGUUUAUUUCUCAGCUCCUUAACUUUUCGGUCGAAUAGUUGUACAGGUUUCUCCUCAUAGGUGAGUGAUUCAUCUAUCUCAAUCUCCUCCGGUUGUAUGAUGUGAGUUGGAUCGGGGUAAUACCUUUUGAGCAUCAAGACAUGAAAGACGUCAUGAAUUCGGGAUAAACUUGGCGGCAACUAGAGUCAGUACGCCACUUUCCCAACUCCUUGAAAAAUCGUAUAAGGUCCUAUGAACCGAGGUUGAAGUUUCUUUCCUCUACCUGCAGUGACACUUCAUAGUGGCGUGAUCUUAAGGAAAACACAGUCUCCAACCUCAAACUCCAAAUCUUUUCUUCAGUUGUCCGCGUAGCUUUUUGGUCGGCUUUGAGCUGUUUGGAGUCUUGGACGGAUCAACUUAACCUUUUCUUGUGCAUCCUCCAUCCACGAAAUAGUUGUUGGAUCUAGAACCUUUCUUUCCCCUACUUCAUCCCAAUAAAUCGGUGAGCAACACUUCCGUCCGUAGAGGGCUUCAUAUACUGGCAUUUGAAUGGGCGAAUGGUAACUAUUAUUGUAGGCGAACUCUGCUAAAGUCAUAUAUUGGCCCCAAUUACCCCCAAAAUCUAAGAUGCAAGUCCGUAACAUGUCUUCAAGGGUUUGAAUGGUUCGCUCCGAUUGUCCAUCCGUCUGGGCGUGAUAAGUGGUACUAAGGUUGAGUUUGAUCCCCAAGGUUUCCUGAAAUUUUUGCCAAAAUCUAGACACAAAACGAGGUUCUCUAUCCGAAAUUGUGACAGCCUCACCUUCCCCUAAGAUGUACCAAAGGGGUUAGCGGACUGCCUGCCCAGCUCUCGCCAGGACUAACGAGGCAAUUAAAUACAAUCUAAAACAUUCCGAAAGAUAAAAGCACGCUCAAAUGAAACAAAAAUCACGAAACGGAAAAACGAAAAUUGGAGCCGCACAUGAACAGUGCCGACCACGUCACAAUCCGGCCGGAUUGGAGGCAGUGAGCAACUGCCCGAAUUCCAAAAUUUCCAAGACAAUCCGGCCAGCAACCCAGCCAAGUUAUGGCCGGAUUUUCGGCCGGAUUCGUCCCUGUCCUUUCCCGCCAAAAAUUUUUUCCUUUUGCCGUUUGAAAUCCGCACCUGUCCGAAGCCCAACCGAUUUCUAUCAAAUUAUAAAAACCUUGAAAUUAAACAUUUACAACCCAAAGUAACACAUGAGCAUGCCCAAAUACGUUUAUACACAUAAAGAUGUAGAUUUACAACUCAAAAGAGAUGAUGGAUCAAAAUACACUUAGGGUUUUUCAACUAUUGAGGAGCUAUACAAAAGAAUGUUAAAACUAGCUCAACUCGGCAACAAAACAUCAUGGUCUUCCAAAAGGUUAUUCAUAUCCCUGUAAGGAAAACAAAGGCAAUAGAGUGAGCUUUCGCCCAAUGAGGUACCAUCACUCAAGUAACAAAGUUCAUGUAAGCACAAAGCCACUCAAUCCGAAUUCAUUCAAUAAGUGAGUUAACUAACACCAAAUUUCAAUCAAGAUUUGUAAAAGGAUACGGGCGGCUCUCAAGAGCCCUUUUCCUUGCUUGCCGUACUUGAUAUUGCCCCGUUGACCCUCCGUCAACGUUUGAGGAGUAACCAAUACCAUAGACUCCACUUUUUCCAAUUUCUGUCCACCUCUCAUACCCCUACCGGGCCCGAACUCCAAUCAGUUCAAAAAUGGUAAUACUCGAGUAUACCGGAUGUCGCGCCCCAUUUUUUGAUAAAUAAAUAAAUGGUUUUAAAAAUAAUUUUUUUUUGUGAUUGGAAAAUGAAUUGUGAUUUAAAAGAAAAAUGGGUCUAAAUGGGAUUUUGAGAAUGCGACGAUUUGACCCAAAAUGUAGUUUAAAAAGGGUUUUUGAAAUCAAAAUCGGAGUCGCCACUUGGUAACGAGUUAAGGUGUACCAAGUCACCUAAAAAAUGAAUUUUUUAAAGAAAAAUAGGAAAAGGUAGUAAGAAACCCCUUUUAAAUGACUCCUAGUCCACGUAAACCAACGAAAAAGGUUCGGGAGUCACAUUUGACGAAGGGGAAGGCAAGGAUAAAAAUCCAAGGCACCCCUUCGACCUAGCCAAGGCUAGUUGCGUGAUUUAAUCAAAGAUUUUCUUGUUUUAACCAAAGAAUUUAUUACAUUUGGAUGCACUACAUGAAUGCAAACCCUAGAUUCUAGGAUGUCUCUUGUAAGGUUCUUGGUCCCAACCACAUGAGUUGCGGCGGCCAAUGAAAGAAAACCUUAUAGAGGUCGAUUAAUGCAAAUGAUGAUUCAAGUGCAAGUGUGCAAGUGUAUAAAAAGGUGCAUGUGUGCAAUUGUAUGGAAAAAUCCAAGUGUUUGUGUGCAAGUGUAUGAAAUAUAGUGAUAAGUGCAUAGAGGUGUAAUUAAGUGCAAUUUUGUGAAGUAGGAAUAAAAAAAGAACAAUAAGGAAAGGAAAAGUGAUGAGGAAAUGUGAAAAAAAAAAUGAGUAAGUGAUAAAUGAGAAUGAAUGAACCUAAAGGAAUGCAUCGGGUCGGGUAUGGGAAUGACUCCUAAUUUUUCAACUUCGAUUUUCCCUUUGAUUAGAAAGCAAAACUAGCGUGCUAAGGCUAUCGAGUAGCCACACUCGCUCGUUUCCCUUAUCAGAAGGGGACUCUUCAGGCAAAUGAACCCUAUUGCUAGCAUGAGAUGCAAAAACCCUAAAAAUGGAGGGAAAAGGGGUUUGAGGGGCAUGCCCAAUGAUAAAACUAAAGAAAGUUGCAUGAUAUGUGGUGAACAAGCAAAUGAUGCACUAAUGAAAAGAAAGGAAAAAGCCUAUUGGGUCUAGCGUUGGACUAGCCCAUUCUAUGAAUUCCGACUAGCGUUGGACUAGUGGAAACGAUAAAAGAAGCCACAACUAGCGUUGGACUAGUGUGGUGACGUACAUUCAUCCAUUCCAUUCAUCCACACUAUGGAAAGCAAGUAGACAUACCAAAUACUCAUAAACACGUAGCACGUAACAUUUAGCAUGCUCGACUAGAUGCAAGACCCUAAUAAAGCAAGUAACAAGUAACACAUAGGCAUGCAACCAAGCUAAUGAACUUAUUACAUUCACUAACUAAAACAAAAAGGGGAAGGGGAAAAUGGACCAAAUUGCUCGCCACAGCCCUAUCUAUUACAAGCCAAGAGGUGUACACAUACCCCAUUAAAAGAAUAAUUUAAUGAAAACAAAAAGUAAAUGAUAUAAGUAAAAGGAAUUAAAGAAAAGCUAGGAAAGCAAAGUAGACAUGCAAUGCACUUAGCACGUUGGGUCACAUAGGAAAGACACAAAAAAGAUAAAAGAAAUUAUACCUCCCUUGAAAUGGAGCUCUAAUGGAGUGAAAUCAACUUAUUUAUCCUCCAAAAUAAAAGAAAUGGUCAAGGUACCAAUUUAUUUGGCAAAUAAUCACAAAGGAUAAAAAAAAAUAAACAUGAAUUUGAAUCAAUUAAAUCAUGUCACCAAACCACAUUUAAGAAGUCAAAAGAAGAAAGGACUUGAUUGCAAAAAUUAAUAAAGUAUUGGGGUCAAAAUUAAAGAAAAAUAAAGUUCAGGGACCUAUUUGCAAUUAAAUUAAGGACCGAAUUGAAAGAAGCAUGAAGUUUGCAGGGCCGUAGCAUAAUUAAGGAAAAGUCUGAGGACUGAUUUACAAAUCCGUUCUCUGGUUCUAGGUCAAACAGGCCAUUGGGCCAUCUUCUUUGUUGGUUUGGGCCUCCUCCUAGCCCAAUCGAAACUUAAAGCAAAAGAAAAUGGCCAGUCCACCAUUUUGGCCCAAAAUUAGCCAACCAAGCAGGUGGACUUCUCCCUUCUAGCCCAAAUCAAAGCCCAAAAGAACAAUAAACUAAACCCAAAUCAAAAUAGAUAAACUCGCCAUCAAAAUCCAAUUAAAAAGUGUUAGAUGUCAAUCUUCUAAGCCCAAAUCGCAACCCAGAAAAUAAGCCCACAACUCAUUGAAAAUAUAAAGGGGCAAAUUGAAACUUAGAAGGGCCAAAUCAAUUUGAUGUUUUUUAGUUUUGGGCCACAAAGAAACUAGACAGAAAUUGAGGGGAUUAAUGUGCACAGUUUCAGAAAUAUUUCAUGCAUGUUCAUGCAACACACGAAGAAACUUUUCUCAUUUCAGACUUCCUUCCCUUUGCAACAUGCAGCGUCCCAUUUCCAAACAAAGUACAUUAGCGACAAACAAUCACUUUCGCAUCGAACAACCAUAAGAUCCCACUCCCCAAACAUCAACCAAACCCAAAGGCAGCAGAAUCUGGAAUAUGAGUAAACAGCGAAGGAAAGAAAACACUUUGGCCAGAAUUUCCUGCAAAUUUCUGCUUCAAAGAUUCGACACCUUUCAGCUUAUUCAUCAGGCAAAUAUAUUGCUCAAUAAACAACAGAGAGAAAGUGACAACAGCUUUAGAAGGCUUUAUAAGCUGCGGAUUCAUGAGCUAUGGAAUCGUAGUGCAGCAAAUUGGACAAGACGUGAUUUUAUCUAAUCAUGGAGCUCGCUUUAGCACCUUGAGAUACAUGGGACAAACUUAAAAUACCACCAGUAAAAAUGCAAACAAGGAAAACAAAAGAGGACCGAAAUAUGGAGGUGCAAGUAUCAAAGGCUUCAUGCAACAGAAAAGUUUCGGUAAUUUGAUGAAAUUUUUAGCAGUCAAACUAGUUGCAAUUUUCCUUAGCAACCCAGCAAGAUUGCAACAGUUUUAAGCAGUGCUCACGCUUCAUUAAUUCUUCUACAACCAUCAUUGACACAAGAUUGAGUAUGCAAACAAGGUGAUAACACAGCAAUAAACCAUACCUAACAUCUUAUUGCAGCAGUUUUGUUUUUAUAAAUCUCAGUCAAACACCAUCUGAGUCUAGGCAACCAAAAGAGCAUAAAAAUUUUAAUGACUCUUUAUUCAAUCAAUGCUGUCACUGGCCCACAAAUUUGUCAAAAAAACAAAGAAAUUCAGCCCAGAUAUUGCGCAGAGAAUCCAGAUUUCAGUCCAAUUUAGCACGUAAGGCACAGACAAUCCAAAAUCACGAACAGUAAAUUAAACAUUGACUUCACGCAAACACAGGGCUUCAGCAACCCAAUCUCAACCCAAACAUCGAACAACAAAUUUUCCUCCCAAAUACAAACAUUGGGUAAUGAAUCGUACAGAACUCCAAGCAAUCGGCUGUUCUACAAAGUGCAGCAAAAAAAAAUCAUUUUCAAGCAAAAAUUUCAGUCAGACACUUCAUCGAACAUCAACUGGGUAUCGAAAAUUUCACCGCUCUUUUGCUAAAUUGAGGUUAUAAUUUGCCCCAAAAUUGUCCAAAACAUAGAAGUUUCAGUCCAGCCAACACAGAUAGCAUGUAUGAACCAAAAUCCAUGGACAAACAGCAUAAAAUUGAAACAAAAUGCUCACGGCAAAACCAUUCCAGAAGUUUGAGAGGAACUGAAAUUUAAAGAGGAUAACUUACAGGGCUCUUAAUUUCUGAAGUUGGAUUGAAUCUGGAGGAGGGGGUGGCGCUGAUGGUAGACGGCUCUGUGGAGAUGGCAGUAGAAGCCCCUGCUACUCCGACGGCUAUGGUGGCAGCGACGGCAGCGGGAGUUGAAGGGUGGUGAUGGCGGCUAUGAGCGGCGGCGGUUCCUGGAACGAUGACUUUGGGCAUGGCAGCAGGGGAGGAAGGCGGUGGCGGUGCUGCUGCUGCCAUUUUUCUUUGUCUUUUGCUAUCUCCAGUCCGUCAAUCCCAGCUUUCCCUCUCUUACUCUCGGCUCAGAAGCCUUCCAAUUUUCUUAGCCCGCCGCCCCUUCUUCUCAGCUCCGUCGCCGCCCUCUAUUUGCGUUUCUUUUCUCUUUUUUUUCUUUUGUUUUGCCCGUAACUCUCCUCUUUUGCUUUGUUUUUUUUUCUUCCUCUUUUCUUCUUUUCCGGUUUUUUCCCGUCUGUUUGAUUGUAGCCCUCCUCCCUGUUUUUUUUCUUUCUUCAUCCGCAAAAACCCCCUCAGCCCCCUUUCUUCCUCUGCUUUUUUCUUCGCCCAAACCUCUCUUGGCCUCUGUUCUUUUUCUUCCGUCCCCCUUGCUUCCGUAACCUCCCCCCAAUUCCUUGUCCGCCGCCCCUGCUCUCGUUUCUUCUAUUUUUUUCCCAGACCCAAAAACCCCCUGUCGGCCUUUUUUUUUUCUUGCUCUCCGUCCUGACUCCCAAUUUCCAGAUUUUUCCUGCAUUCUUUAGCCGAGGCUCCCCCCUCUCGGUUUUUCCCUCUGUUUUUCUUUGGCCAAAAGUCUCUUCCACCCGAAGCUCUCCCUUGUUUUUUCCGUUCCUUUUGUUGCCGACCGAAGACCUAGCCGCCAUAGCUCCCUCCCAAUUUUCCUACUCUCUCCGUUUUUGUCGAUGCCUCUCUCCCCAAAACUCCCUGUUGCGGCUCUCUUUCUUUUUUUCUAUUUUUCUUUUUUUCUUCCCCCAAAACCCAGCCGCCUGCUCUGCCCCCUUUUUUUUCUGCUGUUUUUCCUUUACCAAAACCUCCGCUGACAUCCCCCCUCCUAAGCUAAACAAGUGUCCCUCUAAAUGUUGUGUUGUCAAAUUCCAGAAGGGACACUUGUCCCACAUGCAAGUUUCCACUUGUCAAUUUUCCCCUUUUCUUCUUUUUUUCUUUUCUUCUUUUCCCCUUUUUAUUAUUUUUUAUAUUUUAUAUUUUUUUAUUAUUUUUUUCUCAAAAUAACUUAAUAAAAAUAACUAAAGUGCCCAAAGAUUGAAUUUAAAGAAAUAAACAUAUUUUUGUGAACAAAUUUUCCUUUUUCUUUUUCUAAAAACUCUAUGCUAAUCUUAAACUUAAAAGCUAAAACUAAAAACUAAAACUAAAAGUAAAUAAGAAUAAAAAGCAAAUGAAAUAGGUCAACUAAAAGGGCGAAAAUGAAUAAAACUAAAAUAUCAUAACAACUAAUAGUGCAAAACACACAACAACGAACUAAAAUGCAAGCAAUCUAAAAAUGAAAAUCAUGAAAUAGAUGAUACAUACAAAUUAUUCAAAAUUUGGUGUCUACACCGGAAUCAAGAGUCUCAUACCCAAUGAUUCCACAUAAAGAGUCCCCAUGGCGUGUCAAUUUCCUUGACCAAGCCCUUGCUGGCUCGAUUCAAUUAACCACCAAUGAGGUUGAGUUCAAUGAUAACAGUAAAGGUCGUUGGACACACGUCCAAACGACACCGGUUCAACUAUAUUCAAGUGAAAUUCAAUUGUUACAGUAAAUAGUCACAUAAGCCAUAGAGUGCGAGAGUGAUAAAGUACACCCUCGUCUCGAUCAAUCUCAACAGUAUACACAAGCAUUCAAGUAAUAGAUUUCAAGUAUAACAAAGCCACGAAGUAACAAUCACGUGAGUAGUACACUCACCAAUCAAACAAGGAAAAUUUCACAAAUUUCCGUCCAACGAGCGCCUUGGGUCACCGGCACGCCCUAAAACAUUCAAUAAAAUGUAAUGAGACUCGAUUACGAGUCAUAAAUCCAAACCACAUAUCACUAAUGUAAAACCAAAAGAACUUGAAAAUAAUGUAAGCUACACUUGGUGCUAAAGGUUUAGACAACCCUAAGGUCCCUUAUUAACCCCUAAAGCAACCCAAAUCCAAGAAAGCAUAUGAACCUACAAUUUGGACAGCAUUUCCCCUUAAAAUUUCAAAUUUCCAUCCUACAAUCACUCACUUAUGUUUCCCCAACACAACCACAAUUACCAUUGCAAGUCAUAGGCCAUUCAAUACAACUUAUUAGGGUCACAAUACCCUUUAAAUAAAGCCAAUUCAAGAGCUCCACAAUAACCCUAGAAAAGCCCCAAUUCAAAACCCUAAAUCUGAAAUUUUCCGUACAAAGCGGAAAUUUUUCACAAAUAGCUACAAUUAACACACCAAAACUUCAUUCUAGACCUUGCUAAGCCAUCAUCCAUGGCCAACCCAUAUUAAUCAUAUAAAAUCAGAAAAAUCAUGAAUAAAAAUAGAAAUUCAUUAAUCUCUACCAAAAGUCAUGAAAUCUUACACAAAACCAUCUCUUUGACUAACACAAGUCACUAAUUGAACAUUAUCAAGAACAAAAGAAGGAUUCCUUAGCCACUUACCUUGCAAACUCAAGAAAAGAAACAACUUAGCACCUCCUCUUUCCAAAUCACUCCACCAACUACCUCAAUACUACUUAGCAAAGGGUUUUUAUGGAGAAAGUUGGAGUUUUAUCGGUUAGAUUUGAAAAUUGAGCAAGCUUGGGAUGAAGAAAGUUGAAGGCUUCUUCUCUCUUUUCUCUCAAAAAGUUUCAGCCAAGAUGCUUGAAAUGAAGAUGAUUUUGGGUCAAUUUUUGGUUAAUUGGUAAAGGUAAGUAAGAUGGUCAAAGUCCACCCUUGAGUAAGAAAGUGACACUUGUCACCUUUUAGACUUAAAGUUGUCCUUUUGUCUCUCCAACAUCAAUCCAUUUGGUAACCUCUAAUUAUCACCUAACACCUAGUAAAUUAAUCCCUGUACACAAAACUUAACCUAAUUGGCCGAAUUUUAUCGCACUUAUUGUAUUAGCGGGUCCUACGUCCAAUAUACACUCCUAAAAUCUCAUGAACUAACUUAUACUAGAAAAAUGAUUUAAAACCCAUAUUUACUCAUAAAAAUUAUUUAGAAAAAUUUUCUAAUAAAGAAAAUAUAGAAAAGGUGUGCAAUUAAAUAAAAUAAAACCUAGAAAAUAAGAAAAUUUUCGGGUUCUCACACUCUCUCCCCCUUAAAAGAAUUUCGCCCUCGAAAUUUCUCACCUUGAUUUUCAAAUAGUUCAGGGUAUUUCUUUUUCAUUUCUUCUUCCACCUCCCAAGUAGCCUCUUCUAUCCCAUGAUUUCUCCACAAGAUCUUUACCAAAGGAAUUUGUUUGUUUCUCAGCUCCUUAACCUUACGAUCAAGCAACUGUACAGGUUUCUCUUCGUAGGUGAGUGUUUCAUCUAUCUCAAUUUCCUUCAGUUGUAAGAUGUGAGAUGGGUCGGGAUAAUACUUCUUAAGCAUCGAGACGUGGAAAGACGUCGUGAAUUUUGGAUAGACUUGAUGGUAGUUCAAGUCGAUACGCUACUUUACCAAUUCUUUGGAGAAUCUUGAAAGGUCCGACGAACCUCGGUUGCAGUUUCUUUCCUCUACCCACCGUGAUGCUUUGUAAUGGUGUGACCUUCAGGAAAACGCGAUCCCCAACUUCGAACUUCAGAUCUUUUCUUCGAUUGUCCGCGUAGCUCUUUUGUCGGUUUUGAGUUGUUUGGAGUCUUUGCCGUAUCAACUUAACUUUUUCUCAUGCGUCCUCUAUCCAUGGAAUAGCCGUUGGAUCUAGAACUUUCCUUUCUCCGACUUCAUCCCGAUAGAUCGAUGACCGGUACUUCCUCCCAUAAAGCGCUUCGUAUGGGGCUAUUUGAAUUGACGAAUGGUGGCUGUUAUUGUAAGCAAACUCUACUAAAGUUGUGACAGCCCCACCUUCCCCUAAGGCGAACCAAAGGGGUUAGCGGACUGCCUGCCCAGCUCUCGCUAGGACUAACGGAUCAGUUUACGUCGAUCUAAUACGUUCCGGAACAUAUCAACGCGCGCAAACAAGUCAAAAUCACAAAAUAAAAAAAAUGAAAAUCGAAGCCGAAGAUGAACAGUGCAGGACACGUCAGAAUCCGGCCGGAAUCCGGCCGGAUACUGGCCAGAGAGUUUCCAAAAAAUUUCAUUUCCCUUCGUAAUCCGGCCGACAAUCCGGCCAAGAUUCCGACCGGAUUGUCUGGCCGGAUCCAUUUUUCCACAGGGCAAUCCGGCCAGUUUCUGGCCGGAUUCCUGACCGGAUUCGGCCCUGUUCAUUCCCGCCAAUUCUUUUCCUUUUCCGUUUGAAAUGCGUAUUGUAACGACCCCAUUUUCCCCUAAGGCGAACCAGAGGGGUCAACGGGCCGCCUGCCCAGCUCUCGCCAGGACUCAGUCAUUCCCUACAGUCCUCGAAUGAAUUACAAGAUAAAACUCAACUUUUACAUCAUAUUCUCCAAAAUUUACAUAUCACAAUCGAAGCGGAAACUAGUUCUAAGCGAAAAAUGUAGAUUUACAUCCGAUUCAAUUCCAAAUAUUUAUACAAGCCCAAAAGUACAUAAAUCAAAACCAAAACUAAACUAUACAAGAUGUACGCCAUCCAGCCACACAAAGAUCCAAAUACAAGGUCUUCCUUUACCUCGAUCCCUGUGGGGAGAAGAAGAUAAUAGGGGGUGAGCUAGAAGCUCAGCGAGUGACCAGUAAAAUCAACAGCCAAGUAUAUUUCACAAUAAAGCAUUAAUAUGAUGUCAUGAUGCAGUAAUCAAAUGUUCAUUUAUUGCUCAUGUGAGCCAGUGAAGUUCUUGUACUUAAAUAUCCAAUGCUCGUUUAGAUCAUGUAACCAUGAAACAGAGGUAAGGAGCCAUCGUGCUCCAAAGAACGUGUAAACAAUAGUGGAGACAUUGGUUCUAAGCACAAGACUUUCCAGGAACUCAUUGGAGCCAAAUUAUGUCAUGGCACACACCCGAACCCCCAAAUGAUAUGCAAUGGAGUAAUAAAUGCAAGAAUUAGUUCAAAAGUAACUUUGGGACAGUCGAGGGAUCACUCACACAAAAUAUAGUGCUUCAAGUAUUCACGUUCAACUAUACUCCAGGUUUGAAGUCCAGCUCUGCGAUAAAAAUCCAAUUUGAGAACUUGAAACACGAGUAAGAUUCGAAACUUAAACGUUCCGUUCAUUAAGAAUCAACCAAUUGAAAUUCAUUUGAAAGGCAUUCGUGAAACACUUGCUCGCUUUUCAAAUCAUAAGGUUUUGUAGUAUAGAUACUUGGAAAUAACACUUGAGUUGAAAGUACAAGGAAAUACAAGUUUACAUUGGCCAUUAUGUCUUUUCCUCAAGGGUACAAGUUCGGCCAAGUCCUAAUGUAUAACCCUCGAUAAACAAAGUAGCAAAGGUGCUUGCUAGUUCAAGUAAUAAUCACUUAACUUUACACAAGUUACAAGUCUCGUUUCCUAGUCCUCGAGUAUAAAUUCGGGCAGCAUGCCCUUUGUGUUUACCUAAUUUUCCAGCCUUUUAGGCUUCAUUGUUUUUCUCAAACACAACCCAACAUCAUACAUAUCAGCAAUUUAUGUCAAGAGCCGUUCCAUAGGCUCACAAUAUCAUAAUAACAAGAAUCGCAUUAAGUACAAGUGCAGAAAUUUAAUUUAGUUCAAGACAGAUUUGACGUACAAAUGCGGAAAUAACAUAUCCGAGGCUACGCUUAUCGGAUUAAAAUGAAACCUAUGCCGUUUCGAAGCUAAGACACAGAGCUACAACAUUCAUGAAGGUCACUUAGUCCAGUUCCUAAUGUAACUUAGUCAAAUUCUCGAAUUACUAAACCAGAAACCAAUUCGUCGGCUGUUUAAACGCAUUAUGCUGUAACGGACCUAACUCAGUGUACACAAGUCCGAAUCAGGUUUUCUUGAGGCAUUUUAAAGCUACUUCAGAACACUACAACUUUUAUGUUUUGGCCCAGAGCUAAAUCAGAAUGGAUCCUGGUCAAAAAUCGUGAUAAACUGGACUGAACUGAAGAAACGGACUGCUGGGAAAUUCUUAAAACAGUAGGGGUAUUUUGGACUUUUCACGUUCUGCGUUGCUCCGAUUGAGCUGAAAUUUUAUAGGCACCUAUAAAACAUCAUUUCCUACAACUUUCCUUCUUUGACCCAAGGCCAAUUCGGCCUCUAACACAUAGAUACAAAUUCGGACAGAAAUGAUCAAGAAUUUUCCAGAAAUCUGGAAUUUGUAGUUUCUAGUGAAACUUUCCCUAAUUUCUUGGUCUAAUCACUACCACAACACCUUAUGAAACCUCAAUUGCAACAUAUAAGCAUCUUACAACAAUUUGGGCAGAAUUUCCCCAAGCCCUAGUUCAGCAAAUAAGAAAGGGGAAAACUACAAAAACAUGUUAAUCAUCCAUGAUUUCACCGUAAAAUCAAGUUACCAAGCUUAAUUGAACAAGAUUGAAACUAAAACUUGGAGAGAUAAGCUCUCUUACCUUGGUUAGAGAUCACUAAGGGCAGCCCCAAGCUUUCCCUUGCCAAACUUUCACCACCAAACACUAGCUAAUCACUCAAGGAGAAGAUUAAUCGGUUUGGUUUGGUUUGAUUCUUGCUUUAUAGAUGAAUCCAAGAAGAAAUGAAGAGGUUUCUCUCUUAUUCUUCCUCUCUCCCUCUCUCGGUUCUUAGCAGCAGAAAUAAGGUGGAAGACUUAGCUAAUUUGGGAUAUAAGAAGGUAAGAUGGUUAAGUAAGGUCUUGGUCAUUCAUUUGCCAACACUUGGCACUACCACAUCCACUCAAUUUAUUUCUUUCUUUCCUUGCAUAAUUAGUCAACAUUUUCGGUCAGACUUAGCUGAUAUUGAGAGGAUAUUUUGCUCAAAAAUCAAUGAGCUUGUAGGGUAAGAAAGUGGUGGUCCAGUGGUGCGUUCAAACGGUAGUGCGCGGGACCCGUCGGUUCGCGCCGUUUUCCUUAAAAACACCCGCACAAGGGUUUUUACUUCCCAUUCACUAACUUUAUUUCAUUUCUCCUAAUCACAUAUUAUUUCUCACUUAAAAGUCACUUUUAUUCACCAAAUUUAAUCCUUGCUCCAUACCGAAAAUUCAUCCGGCGAGAAAAUCGAGAAAACCUAAUUUUGCUCAAUUUGAAACCGAAGUGAAAAAUCCUAUUUUCUAGGUUCAUUGGCACUUAUUGUGGGGUGAUUGAGUAGUAUGGCCAUUAUAAAGUGGUAUUUGUCAAAGAAAAGGGAAUUUUAAGAAAAAUAUAAGGAAUUUGCACGGCUUCUGGCCGGAUUUUCCCACAAAACUCUAUUCACCAGAAAUUUUUCCCUUUUCUUCUGCCUCGGGGCGUCACAAACUCCCCUCCUUAAAAGAAUGUCGUCCUCGACAUUCCAACUUGUACUAAUCAGAUUAAAAUAGUUCUCGAAAGUCGAUCACGUAUUAAGAAUCAUUUCAAUCUCGCUUAUCAUAAUCAAAUACUAAUCAGAUCAAGUAUCUAAAAGAUCAAUCACAUACUAAGAAUCACUCUAAUCUCACUUAUCGUAAUUCAUGAUCCAGUAAAGCAUGGCUUAUCAAAUAAUCACUUAUCAAAUUCAAGUACUAAAUAUCACGCCGAUCCAACUUAUCCAAUAGUCAUGGUCCACUAGGGAGUUAAUCAAGUGAUUAGAUAAAACAGGCAAAAAGCUUGAGGUUGGACGUAAAGUCCCAGAUAUUCGGAAGAAAUGCAGGAUAUAGCGAAACUUUAGAUCAAAUAUUCAUCCUUGGUGGUGCUGGACAACACAACAAGCUAGCACAACGGCUAUGCUUCACCAAAGAAUUUCAGUUCAGUAAGUUGGCCCUGGCGGUGAUGGACAACACAACAAGCUAGCACAACGGCUAUGCUUUCACCAAAAGCCUCAGUUCAAGUAUUUGUCCCUGGCGGUGCUGGACAACACAACAAGUUAGCACAUCGGCUAAACUUCGCCAGAGAACCUCAGUUCAUGUAUUCGUCCCUGGCGGUGCUGGACAACACAACAAGUUAGCACAUCGGCUAAACUUCGCCAGAGAACCUCAGUUCAUAAUUCCAUCUCUGGUGGUGAUGGACAACACAACAGGCAUGCCUCGCCAGAAGAAUGGCGGUGCUGGACAACACAACAGGCAAUGCCCCACCAGAGAGGUUCAGUUCAACCGCUACAGAAGAGUAGUAGCCGGUCUACAACCAUAUGAGUACGAGUAAGUUCACGAGUAGGGUAACAGUAGAGUUCAAACAAAUAGGUUCAAAACAGGACGGAAUAUUUCAGGUUCAUGCAGCACGAAUAGAAAGAGGUUCAAAAGCAGGGUCAAAUGCUUUAGGUUCAUGGAGCACCAGUACAAUUAAGAACUCACUCGUCCAACUUAUGCCCAGCAAAUCACAUUCUUAAGCAGUCACAAGAUUCAAGUUCACAUUCCAUAUAUUCAGCCAAAUUAGGUCCAUCAAGGUACGUAAGGCACACUAGCCUAAACAGGUUCAAGUCUCAAGUAAGCUCAGUCUAAUCGGUUUCAGGCAGUUCGAGUUCUCUUAUCAACCCAGUACAAUACUUUCGGGGUUCAAACUUCCUAAGGUUGUAAUAUUGGCACAGAACCAACCCUAACAUAUGUUGCGCACAAGAAAAUUUCACCAAGUUUCCGACUAGAUUAAUCCAUUAUACACUAGUAGAUCUGAUCUUCGGGUUUAUUUUCGAUUCAUAUUCAGUACUAGGGACCUAUUAAAUUGUAUGAAUCUGUCCAUCAAUUUCUCCCAUGAAUACGGAGUUGGCUAAACCCUCGGUCACAGCCCUUUACUCCUAGCCCUGCUACCAUACUUAAUAAAAAUCUGUAAGUGCAGGAAAAGGAUUAACUAAGCAUGAAAGAACUUAACACGUAUACUAGUUGCAAAAACAUUUAAAAUCAGGUCAUGAUUUAUUACAUAUAUCAAAAGUUAUAACCUGAGUUAAAAGUCAUAAAAUAAGGCCAAUAUGUCGGAAUUUGUAUAUAAACACUUAGGUACCAUAAAAGAUAAAAGCAUAGGUAAGCUAGAUACAAAAGUCUCACGAUGUGGACCACCCUUCCUAGGUCUUCCACAUGGUCCAAUUAUUGCUCAUUUCAAUCAGAUUACAUGCCUUCACGACAUUAGAUCCAAGAAAUCCAUAACACAAGCCGAAGUCAAAGGUUAUCCAUGUCGAAGUUCAAAAUGCCAUCAUCUCCAAGAAUAACCAAUCUUAGGUUCUAUAGUACAGUCGCAAGUUCCAAGUUCAAACCCAAGAAAUGAAUACACUUGCUAACUAACGUGCCAAAUGGAACCCAAGUCAAUUCACACUAACUUCGUACUCUUGAAUACAGCCACUCUAUAUCUCAAAGUUGUCUCAAUCCGUACAUUUAAAAUUGGCUCACUCUUCUUGAAAGUCAAGAAUUUUAAAACAUAAGAUGAGUGUUUAAAGUAAUCAAAAUCUUAUCAAGUUCAGGAUUCACAUUAGUAAACAUAAGCUUGCCAUUCUCUCGAAAACUCAGGAUAUAUAUAUAUUUUUCUUCGUAUAAAGCAUGGACCAAUUCAAGUGUGAGAAUAUGCCGGUAUACAAUCAAGGGGAAAACUUAGUUUAGAAAUUGUUAUCCUGGUAUUAACCCAUCAUACACAAAAUUCAACAAGCUCAUCAGGUAUUCACAACUUUUCAAAUUUGAACUUCAAGUAAAACUCACAUUUUUACUAAAAUCGGCAAAUUACACAUACUUAAAGCAUAUAUAUCUUAUUUCCAAUCAUUGCAUACAAAUAAAACUAGUACAUCCUAGCUUUUCUUCAAAAUCCCAAAACAAAAUUUCUUUAGAAAGUAGGGGGCGAAAAUGCAUUUUAUUCCUUUGGUACUUUUAUCUUGGUUCAAAAUCAUUACUCAUAAAAUUUGACUAUCACAUCUCACCUUUUAUCCAUGGCCAUGGCCAGUACUAGGAAUCACCUCAAUUCCUUCCACACUUACAAACAUACUAGAAUUCAAAUUCGUCCAAUCUUUCACUAGUCAUCUAAUUCCUCAAUUUUUUUUUCUACAAGUCCCAAAUAAGGAAUUCUCAAACAGUAAAUUUCUUUGUACCACUAGGAUACAAUAGCUCCUCGUUCACAUAAUAUUCAAAUUACUCUCACAGCCAAACAUCCUAAACUUUAACUCUAGGAUACGCUACAGAGAUCUGGAACCUAAGCUCUGAUACCAAUUGUAACGACCCCAUUUUCCCCUAAGGCGAACCAGAGGGGUCAACGGGCCGCCUGCCCAGCUCUCGCCAGGACUCAGUCAUUCCCUACAGUCCUCGAAUGAAUUACAAGAUAAAACUCAACUUUUACAUCAUAUUCUCCAAAAUUUACAUAUCACAAUCGAAGCGGAAACUAGUUCUAAGCGAAAAAUGUAGAUUUACAUCCGAUUCAAUUCCAAAUAUUUAUACAAGCCCAAAAGUACAUAAACCAAAACCAAAACCAAAACUAAACUAUACAAGAUGUACGCCAUCCAGCCACACAAAGAUCCAAAUACAAGGUCUUCCUUUACCUCGAUCCCUGUGGGGAGAAGAAGAUAAUAGGGGGUGAGCUAGAAGCUCAGCGAGUGACCAGUAAAAUCAACAGCCAAGUAUAUUUCACAAUAAAGCAUUAAUAUGAUGUCAUGAUGCAGUAAUCAAAUGUUCAUUUAUUGCUCAUGUGAGCCAGUGAAGUUCUUGUACUUAAAUAUCCAAUGCUCGUUUAGAUCAUGUAACCAUGAAACAGAGGUAAGGAGCCAUCGUGCUCCAAAGAACGUGUAAACAAUAGUGGAGACAUUGGUUCUAAGCACAAGACUUUCCAGGAACUCAUUGGAGCCAACUUAUGUCAUGGCACACACCCGAACCCCCAAAUGAUAUGCAAUGGAGUAAUAAAUGCAAGAAUUAGUUCAAAAGUAACAUUGGGACAGUCGAGGGAUCACUCACACAAAAUCUAGUGCUUCAAGUAUUCACGUUCAACUAUACUCCAGGUUUGAAGUCCAGCUCU